ACCACAUAUUUUUGACCAUUCCGAUGAAGCUUAUCGACGAGUUGUUUCAUCUUGUCCUCCGGGAAGUUGACGGGGUCAAGAGUGAAGUCCUUAAAUCCAUCCAUGUAAUCGAUGUCCGUCCACAUAACUUCCAGAGGGAUGUUAUGUAACACCCCUAACCCGUCUCCGUCGCCGAAUCAGGGUUACGAGGCAUUACGAAACCAAGCUCACAUAAACAUAACUUUAAUAUCUAAUUCCAAAUGCAAGUCCAAUUCAUGAACAUAUAUAAUCAAAUUCAAGCAUGGAAACUAAACUCUUUUCACAUUGCUAUUUACACAAUAGGAUUCAAAACUAACCAAAACAUUAUCAAGCCUAUACAUGCCAUAAGAUCGAGUUCAAAUAUUUAACAAAAUACCAAAAGAAGUUGAUAGUGUGAUGGACUGUGCUGAUGAUCCCCGAGCUCGUAACGCGUCUCCAAAUCUAUAAAAACGAAUGAACGAAAGCAAACGAAGUAAGCUUUUAUAGCUUAGUAAGUCUCCAGCAUAACUAAAUGUAUAAUUAUAAACACAUAAUUAUUAUAACCUUUUUAAUCUAUUCUACUGAAAUUUUAACUAACACAACCAACUAACAUUCAUACAUUAUUCUACUCAGACCAUUUCAUUUAUAGUCAGAUAUGUAUACCUGUCGGAUGAAUUCAGUUUAAUAUAUAUAUUAUACAAAACAACAUUACAAUUGAAUGUAUACCACCGAGCAUAUAUAUACAUAUUAUAUACAUAUCAAACCGAUUGUAUAUGUACACUCAUGGUAAGUUCUAAAUCAAUUCAAAUCUAACACAAAUAUAUAUACAUCAAUCACAUCUUAUAUUUGUUUGUAUAUAAAUAUACUCAUUAUGAAUUUAUACCUGAAUACCUAGGUAACACAUACAUUCGAAAUAUACACAUAUAUAUAUAUAUAUCUCAAAUGCAUACAUGAUUAAUUAUCAAACACAUAGGCUCAACAUAUAUAUGUUUAACUACCACAUAUCACCAUAUGCAUUUAUAAAUUCAGCAAUCACAUAUAUCUAAUGUACAUAUGUAUUCAUCGAUUUCAUAAAAUCACAAAUCAUAGAUAUAUCCAUUGCAUAUUCUAACACAAUUUAAACAGAUUCACCGGCAUUUUGCCUACUAGGCUUAAAGCCUGAUUCAGUACACCGGCACUUAGCCUGCUAGACAUAUAGUCUGAAAUGUAUCACCGGCAUUAAGCCUGCUAGACAUAUAGUCUGAAAUGUAUCACCGGCAUUAAGCCUGCUAGACUUAAAGUCUGAAAUGUAUCACCGGCAUUAAGCCUGCUAGACUUAAAGUCUGAAAUGUAUCACCGGCAUUAAGCCUGCUAGACUUAAAGUCUGAAAUGUAUCACCGGCAUUAAGCCUGCUAGACUUAAAGUCUGAAUUACUUCACCGGCAUUAAGCCUGCUAGACGUAACGUCUGUAUUACAUUCAAUCACUUUAUAAUAAUUCAAACUAACAAUUUCAUAUCUUCACUACCAUUCAAAAACUUUUACGUGAAUAUACAUACAAAAUCGAAACUUUCACAUACAUAUAUAAUUCCAUACCAAAUUUCGAUUCAAGAAUUUAUACAUGUGCAUUUAUACAUAUUCGAAUCUACCAUAUGAAUGUAUAAUUUCAUACUCAAUUUCAAAACAAAAACUUGUACAUAUAUAAAUGCACAAUCAAUCCUCGCAUACUUAUAUAAUGACAUAACUAAAUUCAAUACACAACACAUACAUGUAUACUUGCAUGCUUAUUCGACUUUAUAUAUAUAUAUACAUACUUAUAUAAUCAUUCAAACCAUAUAUAUAUAUAUACCUAUAUCUUAUACAUACCUUUGAUUAAUCCAAUAAUUUAUACAAGAUCAUACUUGUAUAUUCGAACAUGUUAUAUACAAUAUCUAUAGUCCAAAGUUUAUUCAACUAUUAUACUUUAAAUUAUAGCUCAAUCAUAAGAUAAAAUUAGUAUGCAUGUAUAAAUAUUAACUUAAUAACUUUUAGUUGCUAAUAGACUUACCUCGGAUAUCAGCAAACACGAUCGACUAUUCGAUUUCCUUCGACUUCCCCCGAUCCAAAUUCGUUUUCUUCGUUCCUUGAUCUAAACAUAGUCAAAUUUAACCUUUUUAUUCAUCAAAACAUUCAUUUGAGUCCAACAAUACAUAAAUGGGAAAAUUACCAUUUUGCCCCUAACAUUUUGCACUUUUUUGCAAUUUAGUCCUUUUUGCACAAAACACAAAAUACACAAAAUUUGCCCUUAACACACAAGGGCCGAAUAUUCAUGGUUCUCAUACAAGUCCACACAUUGCAUUUAUUUCACAUUUUAGUCCCUCAAAAAUUUAUUUUCACAAUUUAGCCCUAAAUACUCAAAUUCAUCAAAAAUCCCAAGACAAAACAUGUUAAUCUAAGACAUAUCUUCCAUUAUUCAUCAUCAAACAUCACAAAACACAAAUAUUCAUCAAUGGCAUAACUCAAAAUAUUCAUUAAAAUUAGAAAUUCAAGCAUGGGUCGGGUAGUAUUCAAAGCAACGAUCUCAAAAACGUAAAAAUUAUCAAAAACCGAAACCAAAGCAUACCUUAAUUUUGCUAUGAAAGUGCCGAAACUUAAGAAACCAUGGAUGGUUUCUUCCUUUCCAAUAUUCGGCUAACAAAGAUGAACAUAUUCAUCUUUUUAUGACUUAUUUUAGUUAUAAUAUUAUAAUUUACUUAAUGACUAAAUUAACCUUAAUUAAAUAAAUUAUAAAUUACAUAACUUAAGGGCAAUGUUGGCAUAUACCACCCACUAACUAAAUCUUGGUCUAAUUACAUCUUUAGACCUCCCACUUAAAAAGACAACUACAAAUAGGUGCUUUUAAAUUUUAACCUUUAACUUUUAUUUUACGCGAUUAAACCCUUUUAUUAAAUCGGACACUUAAACGACGAAAUUAAAACACGAAAAUUUUACACAAUCAAAUGCACACGAAAUAAACACACAAAAUAAUAUUAAUAAUAUUUUUCUAAUUCAGAUUUGUGGUCCCGAAACCACUAUUCUGAUUAGGGUCAAAACCGGGUUGUUACAACUCUCCCCCCCUUAGGGAUUUUCGUCCCCGAAAAUCUUACCGGUGAAUAGGUUUGGAUAACGCUCCUUCAUUGUAUCCUCUGACUCCCAAGUUGCUUCUUCAACUCCGUGUUUAUGCCACAAUACUUUAACUAAUGGAAUUUUCUUAUUUCGUAAUUCCUUGAUCUCACGAGCCAGAAUGCUAAUCGGUUCUUCUUCAUAUGACAUAUCAGGGUUAAUUUCAAUCUCCGUCGGACAAAUCACAUGUGAAGGAUCAGAUCGGUAUCUACGGAGCAUCGAAACAUGAAAUACAUUGUGAAUCUUUUCUAACUCAGGUGGUAACAUCAAUCUAUAAGCAACCGGUCCGACACGUUCUAUAAUCUCAUACGGUCCAAUGAAUCUUGGACUCAAUUUCCCUUUACGACCGAAUCUGAGUACUUUCUUCCACGGUGAGACUUUCAAAAACACUUUAUCGCCGAUCUGAAAUUCUAUAUCUUUUCUUCUCAAAUCCUUAUAAGAUUUCUGACGAUCUGAUGCUGAUUUCAGGCUGUCCCGAAUCACUUUCACUUUCUGUUCGGUCUCUUUAAUCAAAUCAACCCCGUGUAUCCUAUUUUCACUGAGCUCGGUCCAAUACAGUGGUGUACGACAUUUACGACCGUACAAAGCCUCAUAAGGUGCCAUUUUAAUACUAGAUUGAAAGCUGUUAUUAUAAGCAAAUUCAAUCAAAGGUAAAUAUCGUUCCCACGUACCUUCAAACUCGAGAAUGCAACAUCUCAACAUGUCCUCAAGUAUCUGUAUAAUUCGCUCCGAUUGACCAUCUGUUUACGGAUGGAAAGCUGUGCUAAAAUGUAGUUUCGUACCUAAUGCAUCUUGUAAUUUCUUCCAAAACCGCGAUGUAAAUCUCGGGUCUCUGUCCGAAAUAAUAGAAAUAGGCACUCCGUGCAAUUUUACAAUCUGAGAAAUGUACAAUUCAGCAAGUUUAUCAAGCGAAUAAUCAAUACGAACCGGAAUAAAGUGAGCCGAUUUUGUCAAUUUAUCAACAACAACCCAAAUUGCAUCUUUCUUGCUGGGUGUUAACGGUAAACCGGAUACAAAAUCCAUCGUAACUCUGUCCCAUUUCCAUUCAGGUAUCAUGAUCGGCUGCAGCAAUCCAGAAGGUACCUGAUGCUCGGCUUUUACUUGCUGACAUAUUAAACAUUUCGAAACAAAGUCAGAAAUGUCUCGUUUCAUUCCAUGCCACCAAUAGUGUUGUUUCAGAUCAUUAUACAUUUUCGUGCUACCCGGAUGAAUAGAAAAUCGACUAUUAUGGGCUUCAUUAAAAAUCAUCUGAAUUAACUCUGGAUUUUUCGGAACACAUAAUCGGUUUCUGAAUCUCAAACAAUCCUCAGUAUCAACUAGAAACUCUGAAUCAACAUUUAAGUCACACUGAGUUCGUUUUGCAAUUAAAUCAUCAUCGGCUUUUUGAGCUUCACAAAUCUGUUGAACAAAUAACGGUUUUGCUUUCAACUCAGCUACUAUCGCACCAUCAUCAGACAUAACCAUAUGUGCAUUCAUUGCACGCAAAGCAAACAGUGAUUUUCGACUUAGGGCAUCAGCAACAACAUUAGCCUUUCCCGGAUGAUAGUCAAUCACGAGCUCGUAAUCUUUCAACAAUUCUAACCAUCGACGCUGUCUCAAAUUCAGAUCUUUCUGAGUCAUCAAAUAUUUCAAGCUUUUAUGAUCGGAAUAAACAUGACAUCUUUCGCCAAACAGAUAGUGACGCCAUAUUUUUAACGCAAAUACAAUAGCGGCCAAUUCCAGAUCAUGCGUCGGAUAGUUCUUUUCAUGCGGCUUUAACUGUCUCGAGGCAUAGGCUACAACUUUGCCUUCCUGCAUCAAUACACAGCCCAAACCAUUUAAAGAUGCAUCACUAUAGAUAACAAACUCUUUACCCGAUUCGGGUUGAACUAGGACUGGAGCUUUGGUUAAAAGAGCUUUCAACUGAUCGAAACUUUUCUGGCACUUUUCUGACCACUCAAACUUAACGUCUUUUUGUAGUAACCUUGUCAUCGGGGUCGCAAUCAUAGAGAACCCUUUCACAAAACGUCUAUAAUAGCCAGCGAGCCCCAGAAAGCUUCGAACUUCCGAAACAUUCCUCGGAGGUUUCCAAUCAAGUAUAGCUGAAAUUUUACUCGGAUCAACCCAAAUACCCGAUGCUGAUACAACAUGGCCCAGAAAACUGACUUCACGUAACCAUAACUCACAUUUACUAAACUUUGCAUACAACUGCUUAUCUCGCAAAGUUUGUAACACAAGUCUCAGAUGUUCAGCAUGCUCAUUUUCGUCUCGAGAGUAGAUCAAAAUGUCAUCAAUAAAUACUACCACAAACCGAUCCAGAUACUUCCUAAAGAUCCGAUUCAUCAAGUCCAUGAAAAUAGCAGCUGCAUUAGUAAGUCCGAAAGGCAUAACAAGAAACUCAUAAUGUCCGUACCUCGUUCGGAAAGCAGUCUUUGGCACAUCAGAGUCUUUAACUCGCAACUGAUAGUAGCCUGAUCUCAGAUCUAUCUUUGAAAACACAGUAGCCCCUUUCAACUGAUCGAACAAAUCAUCAAUCCGUGGUAACGGAUACUUAUUCUUUAUAGUCACUUUAUUGAGUUGCCGGUAAUCAAUGCACAUUCUCAUCGUUCCGUCUUUCUUUCUCACAAAUAGAACUGGUGCACCCCAAGGAGAGAAACUCGGUCGUGCAAAACCUUUAUCAGUCAGCUCUUGCAACUGUACUUUCAAUUCUUUUAAUUCGGUCGGUGCCAUACGAUACGGAGCUAUCGAUAUGGGAGUCGUCCCUGGUACUAACUCAAUACCAAACUCUACCUCUCGAAUAGGUGGCAAACCCGGUAAUUCUUCGGGAAACACGUCUGAAUACUCACACACUACUGGUACAGAUUCAAUCUUCUUUUCGGUCACUUUACUAUCAAGAACAAAUGCAAGGUAAGCUUCACAACCCCUUCUCACAUACUUCUGAGCUGACAUCGAGGAUAUUAUUGCUGAUAAACCAUUCAGAUCAUUAGAUUCGAUCCGAAUAAUCUCAUCAUUCUGACACCGUAGAUCAAUAGUUUUCCGUUUGCAGUUUACAAUAGCAUCAUGCAGAGUUAACCAAUCCAUACCCAGAAUUAUAUCGAACUCGUCGAAUGGUAACAACAUCAAAUCAGCUGGAAAACAUAAAUCUCGAAUCAUUAACGGAAAAUUCUUGCACACUUUGUCAACCAAAACACACCGGCCCAGGGGGUUUGAUACUUUAAUUACAAACUCAGUAGACUCAACAGGCAAAGUCUUACUGAAUACUAAAGUCUCACACACAUAAGAAUGAGUCGAACCAGGAUCAAUCAAUGCAAUAACAUUAGUAUCAUAAAGAGUGAAAGUACCAGUAAUAACAUCUGGAGAAGAAGCCUCCUCUCGAGCACGGAUGGCAUAAGCUCUGGCAGGUGCACGGGCCUCAGAUCGAAUUGCUGUGUCCCUGGUUCCUCUCUGACUACCACUUACAUUACUCAAUUGUCUCGGCGGUCUACCUCGGACUGGCACAUUACUCGGUCUGGUAUCCUGCACAGUGUUUUGCUCAGCUACCAUCGGACAAUCUCGAAUGAAAUGAUCUUUUGAACCACACUUGAAGCAAGACCGAUCAUGGAAUCUGCAAUCCCCAGGAUGCCAUUUCCCACAAUGCUUGCACUCUGAUCUAUUUUGUCGAACACUACCAACGCUAGCAACUGAAGUAGCUCGUGAACUCACAGGGGGUCGAUCUCGAUCAUACUUAGGAAACCCUGCAGUAGCUUUAGAUUGGCUAUGAUCCGCUCUGAAUUUCCUUGAGGUCGACUGAAAUGAUUUACUGAAUGAUCUUUUACGAGAAUCUCGAGCUUCAUAGUCAGCUUUCCUCUUCUCUUUCCCGAGCUCCUCAGCUUUACAAGCUCGUUCCACAAGUACUACGAACUCUUUUAUCUCAAGUAUACCAACUAACAGUUUAAUAUCUUCGUUCAGCCCAUCUUCAAAUCUUCUACACAUGAUAGCUUCAGUUGAAACACACUCUCGAGCAUAUCUACUAAGUCUCACAAAUUUCCGUUCAUAUUCUGUCACUGUCAUACUACCCUGUUUCAGUUCAAGAAAUUCCUUACGUUUCUGAUCAAUAAAUCUCUGGCUGAUGUAUUUCUUACGAAACUCAGUCUGAAAGAAUUCCCAGGUCACUCGCUCUUUCGGAACCACCGAUGCUAGUGUAUUCCACCAGUGAUAUGCAGUGUCCCGUAGCAAGGAUAUGGCACAUUUCAAGCACUCAUCAGGGGUGCAAGACAACUCAUCAAACACUCGAAUAGUAUUAUCAAGCCAGAAUUCAGCUCGCUCAGCAUCAUCAUCAUUAGUAGCUCUGAACUCUUCGGCCCCGUGUUUUCGAAUUUUGUCAACCGGAGGCUUAAGUAAUCUCAUCGGAUCACUUACUUGGGGUAUAACAGGAAUCGAAGAUGGAUUAGUCGGGGGUGGAGGUUGUUGUGUAACCGGAUUAGUUCGGACAUAAUGAGUAAACCAGUCAUUCAUCAUUUGGUAGAAGGCUUGUUUAGCCUCUCCCUCCUGGUUACUCGAGGUCGGUCGAGAAUCUACCGGCUCUGUCCCUUGUGCGGGAGCAGGCGCUAUACUCUCAACAUCAUCGGCUACGGCUCGAUCGGGAUCCAUUACUAUACGAAAACACAUUUUUAGACAUCAGCAGUCAUCACACUAUCUCGAUAUAAAAAUUAUGGCAUGUAUAGCUAGACUCAUACAUGCUACGUUAGUCCAAGAAUCGACUAAACCGUAGCUCUGAUACCAAUAAAAUGUAACACCCCUAACCCGUCUCCGUCGCCGAAUCAGGGUUACGAGGCAUUACGAAACCAAGCUCACAUAAACAUAACUUUAAUAUCUAAUUCCAAAUGCAAGUCCAAUUCAUGAACAUAUAUAAUCAAAUUCAAGCAUGGAAACUAAACUCUUUUCACAUUGCUAUUUACACAAUAGGAUUCAAAACUAACCAAAACAUUAUCAAGCCUAUACAUGCCAUAAGAUCGAGUUCAAAUAUUUAACAAAAUACCAAAAGAAGUUGAUAGUGUGAUGGACUGUGCUGAUGAUCCCCGAGCUCGUAACGCGUCUCCAAAUCUAUAAAAACGAAUGAACGAAAGCAAACGAAGUAAGCUUUUAUAGCUUAGUAAGUCUCCAGCAUAACUAAAUGUAUAAUUAUAAACACAUAAUUAUUAUAACCUUUUUAAUCUAUUCUACUGAAAUUUUAACUAACACAACCAACUAACAUUCAUACAUUAUUCUACUCAGACCAUUUCAUUUAUAGUCAGAUAUGUAUACCUGUCGGAUGAAUUCAGUUUAAUAUAUAUAUUAUACAAAACAACAUUACAAUUGAAUGUAUACCACCGAGCAUAUAUAUACAUAUUAUAUACAUAUCAAACCGAUUGUAUAUGUACACUCAUGGUAAGUUCUAAAUCAAUUCAAAUCUAACACAAAUAUAUAUACAUCAAUCACAUCUUAUAUUUGUUUGUAUAUAAAUAUACUCAUUAUGAAUUUAUACCUGAAUACCUAGGUAACACAUACAUUCGAAAUAUACACAUAUAUAUAUAUAUAUCUCAAAUGCAUACAUGAUUAAUUAUCAAACACAUAGGCUCAACAUAUAUAUGUUUAACUACCACAUAUCACCAUAUGCAUUUAUAAAUUCAGCAAUCGCAUAUAUCUAAUGUACAUAUGUAUUCAUCGAUUUCAUAAAAUCACAAAUCAUAGAUAUAUCCAUUGCAUAUUCUAACACAAUUUAAACAGAUUCACCGGCAUUUUGCCUACUAGGCUUAAAGCCUGAUUCAGUACACCGGCACUUAGCCUGCUAGACAUAUAGUCUGAAAUGUAUCACCGGCAUUAAGCCUGCUAGACAUAUAGUCUGAAAUGUAUCACCGGCAUUAAGCCUGCUAGACUUAAAGUCUGAAAUGUAUCACCGGCAUUAAGCCUGCUAGACUUAAAGUCUGAAAUGUAUCACCGGCAUUAAGCCUGCUAGACUUAAAGUCUGAAAUGUAUCACCGGCAUUAAGCCUGCUAGACUUAAAGUCUGAAUUACUUCACCGGCAUUAAGCCUGCUAGACGUAACGUCUGUAUUACAUUCAAUCACUUUAUAAUAAUUCAAACUAACAAUUUCAUAUCUUCACUACCAUUCAAAAACUUUUACGUGAAUAUACAUACAAAAUCGAAACUUUCACAUACAUAUAUAAUUCCAUACCAAAUUUCGAUUCAAGAAUUUAUACAUGUGCAUUUAUACAUAUUCGAAUCUACCAUAUGAAUGUAUAAUUUCAUACUCAAUUUCAAAACAAAAACUUGUACAUAUAUAAAUGCACAAUCAAUCCUCGCAUACUUAUAUAAUGACAUAACUAAAUUCAAUACACAACACAUACAUGUAUACUUGCAUGCUUAUUCGACUUUAUAUAUAUAUAUACAUACUUAUAUAAUCAUUCAAACCAUAUAUAUAUAUAUAUACCUAUAUCUUAUACAUACCUUUGAUUAAUCCAAUAAUUUAUACAAGAUCAUACUUGUAUAUUCGAACAUGUUAUAUACAAUAUCUAUAGUCCAAAGUUUAUUCAACUAUUAUACUUUAAAUUAUAGCUCAAUCAUAAGAUAAAAUUAGUAUGCAUGUAUAAAUAUUAACUUAAUAACUUUUAGUUGCUAAUAGACUUACCUCGGAUAUCAGCAAAUACGAUCGACUAUUCGAUUUCCUUCGACUUCCCCCGAUCCAAAUUCGUUUUCUUCGUUCCUUGAUCUAAACAUAGUCAAAUUUAACCUUUUUAUUCAUCAAAACAUUCAUUUGAGUCCAACAAUACAUAAAUGGGAAAAUUACCAUUUUGCCCCUAACAUUUUGCACUUUUUUGCAAUUUAGUCCUUUUUGCACAAAACACAAAAUACACAAAAUUUGCCCUUAACACACAAGGGCCGAAUAUUCAUGGUUCUCAUACAAGUCCACACAUUGCAUUUAUUUCACAUUUUAGUCCCUCAAAAAUUUAUUUUCACAAUUUAGCCCUAAAUACUCAAAUUCAUCAAAAAUCCCAAGACAAAACAUGUUAAUCUAAGACAUAUCUUCCAUUAUUCAUCAUCAAACAUCACAAAACACAAAUAUUCAUCAAUGACAUAACUCAAAAUAUUCAUUAAAAUUAGAAAUUCAAGCAUGGGUCGGGUAGUAUUCAAAGCAACGAUCUCAAAAACGUAAAAAUUAUCAAAAACCGAAACCAAAGCAUACCUUAAUUUUGCUAUGAAAGUGCCGAAACUUAAGAAACCAUGGAUGGUUUCUUCCUUUCCAAUAUUCGGCUAACAAAGAUGAACAUAUUCAUCUUUUUAUGACUUAUUUUAGUUAUAAUAUUAUAAUUUACUUAAUGACUAAAUUAACCUUAAUUAAAUAAAUUAUAAAUUACAUAACUUAAGGGCAAUGUUGGCAUAUACCACCCACUAACUAAAUCUUGGUCUAAUUACAUCUUUAGACCUCCCACUUAAAAAGACAACUACAAAUAGGUGCUUUAAAUUUUAACCUUUAACUUUUAUUUUACGCGAUUAAACCCUUUUAUUAAAUCGGACACUUAAACGACGAAAUUAAAACACGAAAAUUUUACACAAUCAAAUGCACACGAAAUAAACACACAAAAUAAUAUUAAUAAUAUUUUUCUAAUUCAGAUUUGUGGUCCCGAAACCACUAUUCUGAUUAGGGUCAAAACCGGGUUGUUACAUGUUAGCUUUGGCGUAGCCAGCAACCACACCCUCGAGGUCAGAAACGUUUUUGUAACCAUAUCGGCACUGAUGGAAUCCUUUGACAAGCAAUGACCAAAUUGGUGAUGAUUAAUGCAAUAAGUCAAAGAUAUAGACACCAAGUCUAGCAAUCAACGUUAUUGUUGAUAUCAACAUACAUGAUAUGGUAGUUAUUUCUUUACAGAAAUAAAUAAAACAUAUAAUGGAGGUGAAGGGAAAAGAAUGGUGUUGUACAAAGGCUUUUGAUACCACUUAUUGUUGACUAUUCGCAUCUAAAUGCUAUGAGAAGUUUUCCUAAGCAUGGAUUUUUAUGGGUUUUUUUCAAGGCUGGAUCCUUGCAUUUUGAAUCAAUUAUAAAUUACAUAUAUCCCUCAUUUUUAAUCUCAACAAAAGCAACAAGCCAAUAUCUAGCUAAUGUUUAUUUAGAUUUGAGAGAAUCAUAUAUGAACAUGUGUCUAAUAUGAAAAUAUUACUUAUAGAAAAAGUCAUAUAUCGUAUCAUUAUAAAUAUGAUUUUUAAGACUAAUUACUACAACCUUACUAAACCUUUAAAUAAUAGAUCAAAGUUCAAUGGUCAUUAUUUCAAUUAUUC
rnacentral:lncRNA from 1 species